CAUAUGCCAAAUUCUUCUAUUCAAAGACACCAACAUUUAUUCAAAUAGGUGCAGGGAUUUACAUUUUCUAUUGACCAAAUGCUAAUUUUAUUAAAAAAUAUUGUCUUAUAAGCAUAAAAGUUUUUUUAAAUCAAUUUAUAAAGGUAGUCUAUCUAGAAUCAGCGAUAAAUAUACAUUUAGAAGAACUUGUCACACACCCCCUCCUCCUAAGAAUUGGAUAAGUAUCACAGCUUCCAAAAGAACAGUAUUUUGAUCAUUAUACAAUGUGGGUUUUUUGCACUUUGAAGUCCCUGUUGUUACAUAUGUUCCAUGCAAUAUGAAUACAUCAGUUGGAUGUUACCCAAGUGUUCUUUACUUUCCAUGAGAUAAUGCUUCUUAGACUUGAAACUCCAUCUCUGUUUCUGGCAAUCUUCCAAGAAAACUCUUUUCUCAACCCCUUUAUUGAUUUCCUGUUGCUCCAUGGUUGUAUUUUCACAAACAUAAUGACACUAAGCAAACAUGCCAUCUCUGUCAUGGUGUCUCUAGGUCAGUGUUCCGGGCACACCUCCUUUGCUACAGCUUCUCAAACAAAGGCAGCAGUCAGCUGUUGAUCAUGAAUGACUUUCCUUUGAAGAUCCUGCUGAGAAAGGGUUUGUUUCCAAACAUAUGAAGUUGAUGGCAGAGGUACAUCAUGAAGUUGUAUGCCAUAUGUUCAAGAUGCUGGUCCUGCCUGUAUCAGUGAAGACUCUGUGCACACAGAUGAUCACCACCACCACCACCACCACCACAAACAACAACAACAACAACAACAACAACAACAACAACAACAACAACAAUAACAAUAGUGAAUGUUAGUGUUCCAAAGACAAAGAAGCUGUAUGGUGUGCCAAACUUUCUCUUUCAUCCUGUAACAUUCCUGGGUAGUUUAACUCUGGAAAGCUUGGGUUGUACCACACUGUUAGUGAACAACUCCCUCUCUGUAAGUCUACACACCAGCAUUUCUUCGUUUAUUCUCCAAUGGACACUUAUCCUGAUGCACCAUUUCUAUACCCUACUUCAAGAACAUCCCUGUAGAGAUUAUAACAUUUAGAGCAUUCAAGGUUCUUCUGUUACAACAUGUAAAAUUAAAAAGCAUUUUAAUUCAUUGAGAUGUACAGAAAUUGAUAUUCUUAAAGUUUAUAUUUAAUUGCAUUAGGAAAAAUGCAGAAAGAUUACUGGAUAAAUGGAAAUAUAUGGAGCUAGCCAUUCCUCUAAUCUGAUCCCUUCACAUUUUUGCUUGUUUUUUUUUUUAAGCUCUAACUAUUUGUUAUUAUAUUAAAAUCAAACACAAAUUGAAGGGUUGAAAAUAUCUUUUUCUAUUUCAAAGAACACAUCACUGAAAAAUAAGAAAAAUAUAUUGAUGUACUAUCAAAAAUUAAUGCUGUCAAUGACAAAAUAAAUAAUCAUUUCCCAAUACAGUGACAACUUUCCAUUUAAAUAUGCAUACAGAUAAUUUUCAGCUGCUUGCUUGAAACCAGCUGGUUUCCUUUUAUCUUUUGAUAAGUAAUGUAAUGAGAAAUUUUUACUAUUGCCUUUUCAUGUAGUCUUCUUGUUUUGUUUUGUUUUGUUUUUUCUCAUUGGCCCAGUUCUCUGCUGUCUAGAACUAUCCUGCUUUUCUUCUGCACAUGUCAGUGAUUGCUUAUCUGUCUAAACUAUCACUGUGGUACUUCGUUUAAUUGGUUUGUCUAAGACUGGCUAAAGACUCAUUGUUGGCUUGAUGAUCUAAAACAGUGAUAGGUAAAAGAUGCAUUCAAUAAACCAAAUGUCAAUCAAUACUCAGCAUGGCUUGAUUACAACCAAGUCAGAUGUAGCCUAAGUUCAUACAUUUGUCCAAAUGUUAUUCAAAAUCAUAGAUUAGCUCAUGUAUUUUGGUGUCAUAAAAAUAGUAUGUAAAUCACCUAUGAACUGAUAGUAGUCUACUCCCAUACUCUGUAUCUAAGUUUAGAACAAUAUUCAUGGCUAUCACCAUUGUAUAACUUGCAAUGGGGACAUUAUGAAGUUACACAUGUACUCAGUAUGAAAGACUUCUGUGAUUGAAUAGUAACGUCCAGUAAGAACAGACAAUACAAAGGACACCGUCAACUUUGACAGGAAGAGAUACUCCUUCUUCUCAGUUUUCUGGUGAGUAAACUGGGCUGAGGAGUAGUAAGGCAUUUUUUUUAUGAUUCAGAUCCCCAGAUUCUAAUGGUGGACACAAAAUAUUUGAUUCAUGAAUAAUCAAUAGCAACUGGUUGUCUCCACAAUUUGAAGGCUAAGAUUUCAUGACCAGAUAAUGGUGUGCAUAAAUUUUUCUCUUCCUGGAUUGUAAUGCCAACUUCUGUCUCUGUACCCUCACAUGCCAGAGGGUGUGGCUAAGUCUCUAUGUCUCAUCUUAUCACUGCAUGUUUUUUUUUUUCCACAAGGCCUCAUCCUCAGCCUCAUCUAAAUGUCAAGUAAAUCUCUUCCAUAAUCCCCAAUCCAACUGUGGGUUGGGAUUUGAAUAAAAGGAUUUUGGUACAUCUAAACCUUAUGCCCCUAACUCUCAACACCUACAAACUCUAUAGUACAAUGUCUUUUUUGCCAUUAUGUGACAGUACUGCUCUUUAGAUUAAAACUGCCUCAAUUUUCAAAUUUUCGUGUUUAGCAAUUAUAAACAAGCCUCAGGAAAUACACAUGAUUGGGUUUGUGUGUCAAUAUAUACACUGAAUCACACUGUGAUCAAACUCUGAAUGUGUUUAUAAGAUGAGGUCCUUCUGAAGGAGAGUCUGAGCUAAGUGUAUGAAUUGCAGAAACUCUCAAUCAUAUCUAUCACAAGAGAAAACUGUUAAGCUGUAAGAGACAGGAGAAUGUCACAGGCAUUAUACCUCUGAGAGUACAGCUGUGGGACGAAGGGCAUGACCUACCUGUAAAAUAGCCUCUAGAUUGGCCAUAAGUCAAGUCUAGCCAGCUCUCCCGGAUACUUGAUUUUCUGUCCAUGGACUUCCUUCUCUGCUAUACCUCAUUGUCAGGGAUCAGUCUUGCCAACAAUUUAUUACCCAGGUGGUAGGCACUUGAUACCAAAUGGAAAAUCCAUCGCUCAUCCCUUGGCUGUCUCCCUGAUAUUGUUGUCUUCAGAUCUGUUUCUACCACUUCAUUAGUUUUAGUCUUCUCAGAGCACGUGCAUCAUAUGUACUUUCAGAGUGAGGCAAGGAUGUAACCACAUGUGACAUAAUAAGAAAUACAUUUCUUUUUAAGUCUCUGCUCCAGUUUCUAACAGAGAGCUCCUUAAAGUUGUAUAGUUUCCUGCAAACUAGAGAGGCUGAGAGUAUCUUUUGUUGAGUUCUCAGUUGGGGGAUAUAAUUCCUAACAUAGAGUUUCUAAAUAUUUUUUACAGUACACUUUAGCCUAAUGAGAUUCAACUCUCUACCUGCCACAAUUCUUGGCAAUCUCAGAACCAGGGCUGUGAAAAAAUGGCUUAUGUAGAUUCAUGGAGAAUUGCUCGGUGUGGAGAAGCAAAAUCAGUUGAUGUUGAAAAACUGGGAAUAAAAAAAGACUUUUAAACUAAGACUUAGUUUUCAGAGGGGGUAAAAUCAUUAUCUCAGCAAACAGUGAGAGUAUCCCUUUGAAUUUUACUAUAUUUAAUGCUUCCUGGCAUCUGCAUGUAACUUUUCCACCCAUCACCUUCUUUUGACCCUUCCAUGUCCCCUUAUUCUAUUUUAUAUCCAUUCUGGUACGCUAAUUUUCUCAGGAACAAACUCAUAUAAUAGUCCACUUUUUCAGACAGAUCAUUCUUUACCCAAGUUAUACUAAAACUUACAAUGUAUCAUUCUAUCCUUCUAGAGUCUCCCUUUCUCAGUCUGCCAAAUGCUGGGAUUGCAGAUCUGCAUGGCCAUGCUCUGCUUGUUGUCUCAAAUCUUCACCUGACCAGGUGUUCCUUGAUUUCUUUUUGUUUGUUGGUUGGUUUUACUUAGGGGACCCAGCAGUUAUCCACCCAAAUUUUAUUUUUUCCUUUCUUUGCAUCUGAUUUUGCAUGAUGAGUCCUACAGCUUCUUCAUUAACCCUGUCUUCUGGGAAAGUACUAAUUUUUAAAAUAAGAAAUAAAUAUCAUGUUUCUAGAAAUGCAUUUCUAUCUAACAUGGUCAAUGAAGGAGCAUAAGGUCUGAAUGACUGGAUAGCAACCAUUCAAAAUGCUUGGUCUUAAAUAUACCUUAUUUGCCGAACAAAUGUAAUGAACACUGUGUUCAGCUACCUGUAUUUGUAAUGGGCAGAACUCAGAAAUACCUUCAGAAAAAAUUCUUUGUCUGAAAUCGCAAAGUACUUAUGUUUUAUUAAAAGUUCAUACAUA